rnacentral:rRNA from 1 species
AUUGAACGCUGGCGGCAGGCUUAACACAUGCAAGUCGAGCGGGGUGAUGGUGCUUGCACUAUCACUUAGCGGCGGACGGGUGAGUAAUGCUUAGGAAUAUGCCUAUUAGUGGGGGACAACAUCUCGAAAGGGAUGCUAAUACCGCAUACGUCCUACGGGAGAAAGCAGGGGAUCACUUGUGACCUUGGGCUAAUAGAUGAGCCUAAGUCGGAGGAGCUAGUUGGUGGGGUAAAGGCCUACCAAGGCGACGAUGUGUAGUGGGGCUGAGAGGAUGAUCCGCCAAACUGGGACUGGGACACGGACCAGACUCAUACGGGAGGCAGCAGUGGGGAAGAUUGGACAAUGGGGGGAACCCUGAUCCAGCCAUGCCGCGUGUGUGAAGAAGGCCUUAUGGUUGUAAAGCACUUUAAGCGAGGAGGAGGCUCUUUUGGUUAAUACCCAAGAUGAGUGGACGUUACUCGCAGAAUAAGCACCGGCUAACUCUGUGCCAGCCGCCGCAGUAA